rnacentral:rRNA from 1 species
UACAGAGGUGGCAAGCGUUGUUCGGAAUUACUGGGCGUAAAGGGCGCGUAGGCGGUCUUCUAAGUCUUGUGUGAAAUCCCUCGGCUCAACUGAGGAACUGCACGGGAUACUGGAAGACUUGAGUUCGGGAGAGGGUAGCGGAAUUCCGGGUGUAGCGGUGAAAUGCGUAGAUAUCCGGAGGAACACCGGUGGCGAAGGCGGCUUCCUGGACCGAUUACUGACGCUGAGGCGCGAAAGCUAGGGGAGCAAACGGG